UAAAAAAAUAGCUCUUAUUCUUGUAUAAGCUCAAUAAUAUGGUUUGAGCGUCUCGACCAGGCAACCAUAAAUUGCCCAGGCUACAUGAAUAACUUUUUAGAUU
rnacentral:ncRNA from 2 species